GACGAACGCUGGCGGCGUGCCUAAUACAUGCAAGUCGAACGCAGUGGGGACGGGUGAGUAACACAUGGGUAACCUCCCAUCAGAGGGGAUAACACUUGGAAACAGGUGCUAAACCGAUACUGAUGGAUGGCCCCGCGGUGCAUUAGCUAGUUGGUGAGGUCACGGCUCACCAAGGCCACGAUGCAUAGCCGAACUGAGAGGGGGAGCGGCCAAACUGGGACUGAGGAAAGGACAAGACUCCGACGGGAGGCAGCAGUAGGGAAUCUUCGGCAAUGGACGAAAGUCUGACCGAGCAACGCCGCGUGAGUGAAGAAGGUUUUCGGAGCGUAAAACUCUGGUGUUAGAGAAGCGGUAUCUAACCAGAAAGCCACGGCUAACUACGUGCCAGCAGCCGCGGUAAUUC
rnacentral:rRNA from 1 species